rnacentral:rRNA from 1 species
AUGAACGCUAGCGACAGGCCUAACACAUGCAAGUCAGGGGCAGCACAAGGAGCAAUCUGAGGUGGCGACGCGCACGGGUGAGUAACACGUAUGCAACCUGCCUGUAAGCGGGGAAUAACCCGUUGAAAGACGGACUAAUACCGCAUAAUACUAAAUUACUGCAUGGUAAUUUAUUUAAACAUUUAUGGCUUACAGAUGGGCAUGCGCAUGAUUAGCUAGUUGGAGAGGUAACGGCUCCCCAAGGCAACGAUCAGUUAGGGGUUCUGAGAGGAAGGUCCCCCACACUGGUACUGAGACACGGACCAGACUCCUACGGGAGGCAGCAGUGAGGAAUAUUGGUCAAUGGACGAGAGUCUGAACCAGCCAAGUCGCGUGCAGGAAGAAUGUCCUUAAUGGAUUGUAAACUGCUUUUGCAGGGGGAAUAAAGUGCAUCACGUGUGAUGUUUUGUAUGCACUCUGCGAAUAAGGAUCGGCUAACUCCGUGCCAGCCGCCGC